AUACUUACCUGGCAGGGGAGACAGCAUGAUCACGAGGUGGUUGUCCCAGGGCUGAGGCUUAUUCAUUUUACUCCAGAUCUGCUGACCCCUGCGAUUUCCCCAAAUGUGGGAAACUCCACGCCAUAAUUUGUGGUAGUGGGGGACUGCAUUCAUGCUCUUCCCUG
rnacentral:snRNA from 1 species